UACGUAGGGGGCGAGCGUUGUCCGGAUUUAUUGGGCGUAAAGAGCGUGUAGGCGGCCAGGUAGGUCUGCUGUGAAACUCGAGGCUCAACCUCGAGACGUCGGCGGAAACCAUCUGGCUAGAGUCCGGAAGAGGAGAGUGGAAUUCCUGGUGUAGCGGUGAAAUGCGCGGAUAUCAGGAAGAACACCCGUGGCGAAGGCGGCUCUCUGGGACGGUACUGACGCUGAGACGCGAAAGCGUGGGGAGCGAACAGG
rnacentral:rRNA from 1 species